rfam:Pongo abelii chromosome X.
GCCAGGCGUGGUGGCGGGCGCCUGUAGUCCCAGCUACUCGGGAGGCUGAGGCAGGAGAAUCACUUGAACCUGGGAGGUGGAGGUUGCAGUGAGCUGAGAUCAAACCACUGCCCUCCAACCUGGGUGACAGAGUGAGACUCAGUCUCAA